AAUUGAAAACACGUACAGAAAAAGUAAAGAAAAUUUCACUCUUACACAAAGCGCCGCCUUCCUCUUUCACCUGUAAGCUUCCCCAAACCCUCUCCAUCCCUUUUUUCUCUUCGCUUUCUCGCUCUCUCUUUUCUUCAUCAAUGAAAGAUUGAUUUUGCUACUGGGCUGGGUUAACUCACGUAGCCAUUGUCUGGGUUAACUCGUGUAACCAUUGCCAUCGCCGACCACCAUCACCACCACCAUAACCAUUGCCGAUAGCCGUCGUUCAUCAUCCUACUCCUUGGACUUUGUGUGCAUUCGAUUCACCUCAGAUCUGCAUCUCUGUCAUCGUUGUUUGUCUCAGAUCUACAUCGCCAAGGUCUUCCAGCCACCAUUGUUGCUCUUGUCGCAACACAACACCUCCGCCGCUUGCACCGCCGCCGUUCUUUCAAGUAGACGCACAAGAUCGUCGCUGCCGCCAAAUAUUAUCUAAUGGAAAGGCCUUUGGAUGCUUCACGAGCGGUUCGAUUCUUAUAAAUGGAAGGAAUGAAUCAAUCCACUCCUUCAAGAAAAUUAUUGGCUUUGUGACACAAGAUGAUGUAGUUCAUGGAAACUUGAGAGUAGAAGAGAAUCUAUGGAUUAGUGCACAAUGCAGGUUAUCAGCUGAUUUGUCAAAACCAGAAAAAGUUCUAGUUCUUGAAAGAGUUAUUGAAUUCUUGUGGCUUCAGUCUGUGAGGAAUUCCUUGGUUGGAACAUUGGAAAAGCAAAGGGAUCUCUGGCGGCCAAAGGAAGCAUGUAAUUGUCGGAUUAGAAAUGGUUAUGGAACCUUCACUUCUGAUCCUGGAUGAACCCACUUCUGGUUUGGACAGUGCAUCAUCUCAGUUUCUUUUAAGAGCUCUAGGAUGUGAAGCGCUUAAGGGAGUGAACAUUUUGCAGAUUAAUCUUAUACUUCCCUCACAAUGAUUUGAUGAUUGAUUUUGAUACUUCAGCUAUGCAUGGUUCAAGAUAUUUGAUGCAUUGUAAGUGUUUAAGUGUUUGAUUUUGAUUUUGAUCCUAAAAGAUAACAGCCAAAAGUAUCCUUUUGAGUACCCUAAUCUGAUGAUGGACGGCCACAUUCACUUCUCUGCCUUCUUCAAUUAUGAUAAUCCACCGCAUGAGGUCCUUCCCACCACAGCAGAGCAACCAAUAAAUUUGCAACAUCCCUUGUCUUAAAUUCCAUUUAUGAGCCCGUAGCAAUUUCAUUUGAUGGCCAAAAUUUUUGCAGCCUAGAGUCUUUGAAUUCGGAAGGCAAGGUUUGUAUUUUCUAUAUCCUCUUCUGCGGCUUGUUCAUAUGAGUAUGAAUGAGAACACUUGCCACUGUUUCAAUAUCAGAUCAUAAUUAUAUAGUGCCUAAUUUGAUGAAAAGACUUAUACAUGUGAAUGGCUGCGUUGGGUGGAAAUAUAAAGCAGCAAGCAUACAAGAACUUGAAGGAUUUGAAGCCAUUUGGCGCAAGUUCAGCGGGUCAAUCUCUGGAAAACUUUGAUUUCCCAGUUUCUCAUCAGCAAGCCGUCUGUUACAACUAAUGAAAUUGAUAAAGCAGUGCAUCAGAUGAUAAUUGAUGCUGGUGCUUAUCCCUCACCCCUUGGCUAUGGUGGAUUUCCAAAAAAUGUGUGCACAUCAGUUAAUGAGUGCAUGUGCCAUGGAAUACCCGAUUCUAGGCAGUUACAGAAUAGUGACAUUAUUAAUAUUGUUGUGACAGUAUACCUGAAUGUAUGCUUCUAAUUUCCUGGGAUAUCAUGGGGACACGUCAAAGACAUUUUUUUGCGGGAAGUCACUAAUGAAAUGAAAAAUCUUGUUGUGGGAUCAAGGUCACGCUCUUCAAAUUAAUUCCCUUUCAACUGUGGAGGAACCCUUAGUUGCAAAAGCAAAAUGUGGAAAUUGGGAGAUAGACAAGAGGUUGUUGAAGAUAGGAGAAAGAAUAGCAUCUAGAUCUUGUGGAGAUUUGUAAUUUGUAGCAUUUUUUGUUGUUUAGAUUUGUAACAUGAUUUAUUAUUUUUUAAAAGAAAUUUGUGUAUUAAUAUUUUGAGUUUAAUAAAAUAUUUCAUUUUAUAGUAA